GGUGGUCUAGUGGUCAUGAGUAUCGCUUCAUAUGCGAUCGACCUGGGUUCGACCCCAGCUACA
rnacentral:tRNA from 1 species